CCUACGGGUGGCAGCAGUGAGGAAUAUUGGUCAAUGGGCGAGAGCCUGAACCAGCCAAGUCGCGUGAAGGAUGACGGCCCUACGGGUUGUAAACUUCUUUUGUCAGGGAGCAAUUGAGUCCACGUGUGGUCUUAGCGAGAGUACCUGAAGAAAAAGCAUCGGCUAAUUCAGUGCCAGCAGCCGCGGUAAUCCGGAGGAUGCGAGCUUUAUCCGGAUUUAUUGGGUUAAAAGGGUGCGUAGGCGGAAUAUCAAGUCAGCGGUAAAAAUUCGGGGCUCAACCCCGUCGUGCCGUUGAAACUGGUUGUCUUGAGUGGGCGAGAGGUAUGCGGAAUGCGUGGUGUAGCGGUGAAAUGCAUAGAUAUCACGCAGAACUCCGAUUGCGAAGGCAGCAUACCGGCGCCCAACUGACGCUGAAGCACGAAAGCGUGGGUAUCGAACAGGAUUAGAUACCCUAGUAGUC
rnacentral:rRNA from 1 species